rnacentral:rRNA from 1 species
UUAUCGAUGGGGAUGCGUUCCAUUAGUUUGUUGGCGGGGUAACGGCCCACCAAGACUACGAUGGAUAGGGGUUCUGAGAGGAAGGUCCCCCACAUUGGAACUGAGACACGGUCCAAACUCCUACGGGAGGCAGCAGUGAGGAAUAUUGGUCAAUGGACGAGAGUCUGAACCAGCCAAGUAGCGUGAAGGAUGACUGCCCUAUGGGUUGUAAACUUCUUUUAUAUGGGAAUAAAGUAUUCCACGUGUGGGAUUUUGUAUGUACCAUAUGAAUAAGGAUCGGCUAACUCCGUGCCAGCAGCCGCGGUAAUACGGAGGAUCCGAGCGUUAUCCGGAUUUAUUGGGUUUAAAGGGAGCGUAGGUGGAUUGUUAAGUCAGUUGUGAAAGUUUGCGGCUCAACCGUAAAAUUGCAGUUGAAACUGGCAGUCUUGAGUACAGUAGAGGUGGGCGGAAUUCGUGGUGUAGCGGUGAAAUGCUUAGAUAUCACGAAGAACUCCGAUUGCGAAGGCAGCUCACUAGACUGCAACUGACACUGAUGCUCGAAAGUGUGGGUAUCAAACAGGAUUAGAUACCCUGGUAGUCCACACAGUAAACGAUGAAUACUCGCUGUUUGCGAUAUACAGUAAGCGGCCAAGCGAAAGCAUUAAGUAUUCCACCUGGGGAGUAC